rnacentral:lncRNA from 1 species
GCAGCGUUUUUCUCCCCGGGUCCUCACUGGUAGGGAAGGCGCUCUCUUGCACGGUCUUCCUCUUUUUCUGCGGAUGUGCUGACUUUGGUUACCACCUAGCAGCUUCCGGUAGUGACCUCACUGAUCUGAAAGUUCAGCAAAAGAUGACUUUUUCUUUCCUCCGGCAUCCUUCAGAGUUGAAGCAAGAGUCAGCUGGGGUAUUUUGGUAAGUUGAUAAACAUGUAAGAGUGAAAGGCUUCAAUGUUACUUUCUCAAAGUUAGACCGGGAUCUGCUUCUCCCAUAAAAUAUAUCUGGAUUGCCACUAUUCCAAGGAAAAGAUUGGGUUGGAAGGGACCUGAACUGUAAG